rnacentral:rRNA from 1 species
GUGUACAGGUUUCCGUAGGUGAACCUGCGGAAGGAUCAUUA